UCACCUUGAGACAGUGCAGGGCAGUGUGAUGCAUGUCAAAGUAUAGUGCCAAGGUUGGGGACAUGUCACUGUCUAUGGGUUCUCACCUAUAUGCCAAUUGCAACACCACUCAGGUUCAGAGUCAACUACAACAGAAUUUACUUAGAAAAGAGAGAGAGUUGGGAGAGAAGUUGGGAGGAAGACAGGGACAGAGGCAGUAGCAAUGGUUCGAACAUCAUGAAGUUCUCAAAGGUUGAUGAUCCGGAAGGUCUCAGCAUGGGUGACACCACAGCAGUCAGCAAAAACAAUCCAAAUCAGUGACAAGAAUCCAAAGCCUGGGCUGGGCAGCACUGGACACUGGACCAGAGAAUACCAAAGAGGUGGAGUUGCUGAAUCAAAGGAUGCCUGAAUCUUUAAUUUUGAAAUUUAUUUCCAAAUCAUUUUUCAUAGCAUCUGUACCAGUGAAAACUCCCAUCAGAGCUGCAUGGGGCCAUCUGUUUUCAUGCAUCAUUGACAAGAUCUAAAAUUCAAGUAGCAUAUACUGAGAGAUUCUUGGAGAAGGGACCACAAGGCAGGAUGUGAUGCCUCUGAACAAGAGAAUAAAAUGCAUUAAUGAG